rnacentral:misc_RNA from 1 species
GAUGAAGAACGUAGUGAAAUGCGAUAAGUAAUGUGAAUUGCAGAAUUCAGUGAAUCAUCGAAUCUUUGAACGCACAUUGCGCCCGCGAGUAUUCUCGCGGGCAUGCCUGUCCGAGCGUCAUUUCAACCCUCAGGGCCCGCCUGCUUCGGCAGGCGCGGCGCUGGUGUUGGGGAUCGGCCUAACCGCCGUCCCCCAAAUACAGUGGCGGUCUCGCUGCAGCCUCCCCUGCGUAGUAGCAACACUCGCAUGCGGAGCGCGGCGCGGCUACGCCGUAAAACCCCCGACUUUCUGAACGUUGACCUCGGAUCAGGUAGGAAUACCCGCUGAACUUAAGCAUAUCAAUAAGCGGAGGA